GCAUCGAUGAAGAACGCAGCGAAUUGCGAUAAGUAAUGUGAAUUGCAGAUUUUCGUGAAUCAUCGAAUCUUUGAACGCAUAUUGCGCUCUAUAGUAUUCUAUAGAGCAUGCCUGUUUGAGCGUCAUUUCUCUCUUAAACCUUUGGGUUUAGUAUUGAAGGUUGUGUUAGCUUCUGCUAACUCCUUUGAAAUGACUUGGCAAUUGAUUGAGUUUUCCAUAUAUUUGCUUAAGGAUUUAAUAUUAGGUUCUACCAACUUAUUAAAUACCCUUUUGCGAAGGACUUACUCGUGUAUCAAGGCCUUAUAACUUUGUCAUUAAUUUUGACCUCAAAUCAGGUAAGGAUACCCGCUGAACUUAAGCAUAUCAAUAAGCGGAGGA
rnacentral:rRNA from 1 species